UCGACCUGAGCGCAGCAUUUCGAGCCUUUGAAAACACGUACGAGAAGGUUGUACAGUUAUUGGCCCCUUCCAUGACAACACAAACGAGCAGAAUGCUGAUUGUAACCAUCGGAUGCGUCCCAGUAUGCCAAGUUUAUGGUAGAAGAAUUUCACUAUCGAAUCCGAGUUUACCGUUGGUAUAUGUUAUCUCGUCGCGUGCACGCCGCCAUAGAAUGAAAACGUAACUGUGAUAAAUCAUCUUUAUCGAGAUCAAGGUGGUGGAUCGAGAUCGAGGUUGGAAACAAGGAUACGAGGAUCCGUUAAGGCGUGAACAAAUACAUUUUCAUUCAUCGGCAACCAUUGCUCCCUUAAAAAAGAAAAAGAAAAAAAAAAAAAGGAAAA